UACGUAGGGGGCAAGCGUUGUCCGGAUUUAUUGGGCGUAAAGAGCGUGUAGGCGGCCAUGCAGGUCAGCUGUGAAAAACUCGAGGCUCAACCUCGAGACGUCGGUUGAAACCGUAUGGCUAGAGUCCGGAAGAGGAGAGUGGAAUUCCCGGUGUAGCGGUGAAAUGCGCAGAUAUCGGGAAGAACACCUAUGGCGAAGGCAGCUCUCUGGGACGGUACUGACGCUGAGACGGCGAAAAGCGUGGGGGAGCAAACAGG
rnacentral:rRNA from 1 species